UACGUAGGGGGCAAGCGUUGUCCGGAUUUAUUGGGCGUAAAGAGCGUGUAGGCGGCCAGGUAGGUCAGCUGUGAAAACUCGAGCUCAACCUCGAGACGCCGGUGGAAACCAUCUAGCUAGAGUCCGGAAGAGGAGAGUGGAAUUCCUGGUGUAGCGGUGAAAUGCGCAGAUAUCAGGAAGAACACCCGUGGCGAAGGCGGCUCUCUGGUACGUGACUGACGCUGAGACGCGAAAGCGUGGGGAGCGAGCAGG
rnacentral:rRNA from 1 species